rnacentral:rRNA from 1 species
UACGGGGGGGGCAAGCGUUGUUCGGAAUUACUGGGCGUAAAGGGCUCGUAGGCGGCCAACUAAGUCGGACGUGAAAUCCCCAGGCUCAACCUGGGAACUGCGUCCGAUACUGGAUGGCUUGAAUUCGGGAGAGGGAUGCAGAAUUCCAGGUGUAGCGGUGAAAUUCGUAGAUAUUCGGCGGAACACCAGUGGCGAAGGCGACUCACUGGCCCGAUACUGACGCUGAGGCGCGAAAGCGUGGGGAGCAAACAGG